ACUAAGACUGUUCACACUACAUCAUUAAGUAAAAUACUGCCUAUAGCAAUGUUCCUCUAAGAGAAAAUAAUUUGCUUUUAAGAUCUGUCCUCAAACAUGUUUUCAAGGAAAUGUAGAGAGGAAAAAGGAAGGCAGCCAAAUCAGAUGGAGCACAUUGCAUGAUGAAAAGGCACACAGACUCUCUAUGUGCACACCACUAAAUUAGAGAGGGGUCUAAUGUAGCUCAAUUGACAGCAUUUUUCCCAUUCUUGAUUCAAAUAACUCUAGAAUACAUCUAAUUUUAAAUAUGAGUCUGUAGACUGAUACAAUUCAAAGAAAACUCUGCCUUUAAGGGUUUAUAAUCUAGUGGGAGGAAACACUUAACACCAAAAUACAAAGUUUGGGGAUUGGUUUGGUUUGCUCUGUUUAUUUUUUCGAAGCAGGAUCUUGUUAUGGUGGCCUUGGCGGGCUUAGAAUUCAUCAUGAAGACUAGGCUGGCCUCAAACUGGCAUCAAUUUUUCUGUUUUGUCUACCACAUGCUAGGACCCCAUGUAUAUGCCACUAUACUGAGCUAAACGACAACUCUUAAUAAAAUAAACAUGAAGGUAUAAAGUGACAAAAUGGCUAAGAAGAAGGUUAAAGAACGUAAGAAUGGGUACUAGGAGUUCAGUGUGGUGGCAUGAGCCUUUAAAGCAGGACUCAGGAGACAGAGGCAGGCAGAUCUCUGAGUUUGAAGCCAGUCUGGUCUACAGAGCAAGUUCCCGGUCACCCAGGGCUACACAGAGAAACCCUGUGUAGGGGAAUAAAAAGAACAGGUACUAGGAAGUAGGAAUGAGGAAACCAUACAGGUUGGUUUGGUUUGGUUGGGGGUAGAGGGUUAGAGGGAGGAGAGUGUUUGAGACAAACCACAGGAGUUAGCUCUCUGCUUGCACAGCCAAAGCACCUUAACUCUCCAGCACUCAUAUAUAAAGCUGGUAGCCCAAGAUGAGUGACAGCCUGGCUAAACCAGCUAGCCCUGGGUUCAGGGAGAGUUUAUGCCUUAGCAAUGAAGUAGAGAGUAACUGAGAGAAUCACCUCUGGCUCAGCCAUAUGCACACCAAAUGCAUACAAGCCCACAACUCAUACAGACAUAAAGAAAUAAGCCAGGAACAACAAAGCAGAAAGUAAAUGAUACUUCAACAAGGCAAAGGUAGGGGGAAAAUGAUGACUGGUGAAAGGUUUUGGUUGGGUUACUCUCCUGAGAACCAGCAAUAACUAGUUCUAGUUACUGUAAGGCAAGUGCCUCACGAUAACAAUCCAUGGAGAAAAAGGGCCAUCUAACUUGCCGUAACUCUCUCUCCUCUGCACUCCUGUGGUAGUUUAAAAUUAAAUUCACAAUUUGUAAAACCUUUGAGAUUUUGGUUUUCAGGUAUGUGUGUUUUGUCUGCACGUGUAUCUUCUGUACACCAUGUGCAUGCAGCAAUGCCUUCAGGGGCCAGAACAGGGCACCGUAUCCUCUGGAACACUGGGGUUACAGACAGUUAGUACCCACCAUGUGGAUACUGAGAAUUGAACCUGGGACCCCUGGAAGAAGAGCUGGUGAAACCAUCUCCCAAACCUCUCACAAACUUUUUGAUGCUGCUCUUUUCAAGAGCUGUCACUCACUCCCUGGAGGCAGGCUCUAAUUAAUGACCUGAUUCCAACUAGUACAAUACAGUAGAAGAGAUGAUGCUUACCAGGCAUACUAGCACAGCCAUUUAAUCCCAGCACUCAGGAGGCAGAGGCAGGUGGAGCUCAGUAAACUGAAGGCCAGCCUGAGCUACGUAGCCAGCUGCAAGUCAGUCAAGGCUAUACAGUGAGACCCUGUCUCAAAGAAAUGUGGAAAUGAGUGUGGGGGCGAUAUAUGACUUCUAAGACUAAGUCAUAAAAAAGGCUGUGUUCCCAAGCUCAAAACCAAAUACUAUGUCAUGAGCCAUGCCAUUAACACUAUGGAGAAGGCCAUGUGGCCAGAACUGGAGAUUCCCUGCCCACACCAACUUGAGACAUACUGGAAGCAGAUCCUCCAGUCCUAGCUAACCUCUUUAACUGGAAACCUCAAGAAAUCCUUGUGCAGGAGCAGCUCAGCUAAGCCACUCUCAAGCACUAUGCUGCGACCAUGUUCUGAGGCACUCUGAAUAUGCAACACACACAGCCACACAGCUCUCGGGUAGCUCGUCCCUAACAUCUUAUCCGCUCAGGUAGUACCAAUGCUCAACAGAAACAUUAGUUCCUAGCUUGUCUUCAUCUCUGCAGAUCUCUAGGCUUACCCUAAUAUUUUGUGUGUUGAAAGAUUCUUGCACUGCCCACUCUAGACUUACUGCAGUUGUAGAAGCUGAAGAGAUUGAACUCUCAUUAGAUAAGAAACCUACAUAAGAGAGUAGGGUAAAAGGAAACUACUGAUUUGAUUCAUCAGACAUGAAAUAAAGGUAAUAGGGGUUGGGGAUUUAGCUCAGUGGUAGGGCACUUGCCUAGGAAGCGCAAAGCCCUGGGUUCGGUCCCCAGCUCCGGAAAAAAAAAGAAAAAAAAUGAAUGAAUGAAUGAAUGAAUGAAAGAAAGAAAGAAAGAAAGAAAGAAAGAAAGAAAGAAAGGAAGGAAGGAAGGAAGGAAGGUAAUAAAUACUGUGUUCCAAUACAAUCACAGAAGAACACCAUGUAUACUGAAAGAAAGAGCCGGGCCUUGUCUACCUUGGAUGUUGCCUGAGCAACAAAGCAAAAGCAGGGUAAUUAUCACAACCUCUCUAUUUUUUUAAUUGUAUUUCUAGUCAGGGAUGGUAGCGUACACCUUUGAUCCCAGCACUCAGGAGGCAGAGCAGACAAAUCUCUAUGAGUUCAAGGCCAGCAUGAUCUAAAGAGUGAGUUCCAGGACAGCCAGGACUACACAGAGAAACCUUACCUUGGAAAAAAGAAUUUAUUAGGGAGCAUAUGCCAUAAAGUUCACAGAGAAGGCAGAGGACUUUCAGGAAUCUGUUUUCUCCUAUCAGCACGAAUCCUGUGGAUUAAACUUGAGUUGUAGUCUCUAAGCACUUUUUCUCCUCUAAGACAUCUUGCUACAGUUGUGGUACCACACAACUUACUCCUUUGUUAUGGAGAAAACGAACCAGUCUCAGGUCAAGACAGUAUUAAAUUUUACAUACAUAUUUCAGAAUAUGUCCUACAGAACAUUAGUAUACAAUAAGGUUACACACAUUCUUUAUAUAUAUAUAUAUUAUUUAUUUAAUAUAUGUGAGGAUAUUGUAGCUGUCUUCAGACACACCAGAAGAGGGGAUCAGAUCCCAUUACAGAUGGUUGUGAGCCACAAUGUGGUUGCUGGGAAUUGAACUCAGGACCUCUGGAAGAGCAGUCAAUUCUCUUAACCACUGAGCCAUCCCUCCAGCCCCGAUUACACACAUUCUUUUUUGUUUUUUUUUUCCUCCCUUUUUUUUUCUCCCUUUUUUUUUUUUUUUUCGGAGCUGGGGACCGAGGCCUUGCGCUUGCUAGGCAAGCGCUCUACCACCGAGCUAAAUCCCCAACCCCGGUUACACACAUUCUUAAAGGGCAGGAGGAUCCUUUUCUCAAGUUUAACUCUCUUGAGAAAUCCCAACUGGAUACCAUGCCAUUUUUAAGACUUUAAUGGGCUAAGAUACAUUAUAAAUCAAUCUGACUGCAGAAUACUUACAACCUUGCAAUUUAAUAGGGUGCCUUUAGUUCAGUUAGGCAAACACUGACUUAGAAAAGCAAGUAGGUAGACAAGCAUGCAGGUGAACAGAUUUACAGAAAAAAGAAAAAGACAAACCUAACAAAAGGCCUCACCUAAUGAAAAGAUGGUAUGUGCUUAGUAAUGACUAUGUAACUUCUUAAAACAUAGUAACUAUUAAACAGAAUAAGCUAGAAAAGCCAACAACAACCAAAGCAGAUGUCAACAGAAAUGAAGAUGGGAAAAAUCAAUAGGUCUCUAACAAAAACCAGAGAAAUCGCUUUCCCUAGACCAGACAUACAGAAUGACUUUCACUAGCAUGUCCCUGCACAUGAGCUGAGAGAGAGAGGUGAGGACCUAGCCCAAGUGUAGCCCAUCUGGAGGGCUGAGAGCAGCUUAUGAGGUAGCCUGACCCUAAGCCCUUAGCCAACGCCCGCAAUAACUAAGGGCCUAUCAGAUGUCUCUUGGGAAAUUUUAAUUACAGAUAGAGUCCUUAGUGAAGUGGAAACAGCGUAACCACACAAAGGAAGCAGAGAUAAACAGCUGAGUUAAGGGCAAAGAAUUAGGAGGAGGGCCCUGGCUAUCCAGUACUGAGCAAAAUGACUUCUUCACUAAAAAUCAGAGCUGGACUAUUACUGCCUAACCUAACCCAGCUAGUUUCCCCCCCCCCCCCCCCCAGCUAGCUUUAAGUAGAAACCCUGCCAGAGAGAACAGGACAGCAGGUCAACGUGAUUUCAACCCUUCUGUGACCCACAUAGAAAAGACAUGGAGAGACAGUGAGGCAGCAGAGGGAGGGACACUGAGUCUGGGUUUAAGGAGUAUCCAGGGGAAAAAAAAAACAAAACUUUUCUUCCCUGGGGAAAAAAAAUAAAACUUUUUCUUCCCUGGGAAAAUAAAGACUUAUUGGUACUCCAAAAAAGAGUAUCCAGGAGCUGAGGGCACGGCUUAGUAAUGGAGCACAGGCUUAAACACAAACCAAGCCCUGGCUUCUAUCACCAGCAUCAAUGAAAAAUGAACUAAGAGGCGCCAGUUAAAAUAUACCUAAAUGGGGCUGAAGGGAUGGCUCAUCAGUUACGAGCACUGGCUACUCGUUUGGAGAACCCAGGUGCAAUUCCCAACAACCACAUGACAGUUCAUAACUGUCUAUAACUCCUGUUUCAAGGGAUCCAACUCCUUCAUACAGACAUAUGCAGUCAAAAUACCAAUGUACAUAAAUAAAUUAUUACACACACACACAAACACAUAUAUAUAUACCUAAAUGAUGCUUUCAUACAUGAAACAUACUUAAACCUACAAGCCAGAGCCCCUGCACCCCAUGACUCAUUAAUCAGAACUGCUCUAGGGUGGAUAUACUUCCCAGAGCCACCAGGUUCUGCCACAAAGGGAGGUUUCCCAAGCUGCCCCAGGCAGUUUAUACAAGCAGUAGACAGUUUAUACAUGCAGACGCAAGCCUGCAUUCCUGCCUAUCCACACUGUCUCUGAUACACACACACACACACACACACACACACACACACACACUGCACUCUUGACACAGGAAAGGAUGUCCUCUGGGAGACUGGGUGACAUGUAGAGGUGCCAAGAAAUGUGCCCCUACAUGUUGUGGUGAGUGGAUGCUGGCAAGGAACUUUUGCAGAAGAGGCUCUCAGCAGCUAAGACUGUCUCAACAUGCUGCAUGGCACCAUUCCCUUUUGGUGAGUUCAAGCCAACAGUGCAAACACUGUCCCCUUUAGAAUGGCGUCCUUACUGCUAGUCACAGCCCUUCUCUAGGGUAGUAGGCUCAAAAGAUUCUGCUAAGGUGACAAAACAUCUCAGGCUGCUAAAGCUCAGAGGACCAGCACCCCUGACCCCUGACGCUCACUACUCCAGCGCUGGAGGCACUGACAAACCUAGAGGUUUAUACUCUGGGAGGCCUGACCUUUAAGAGCUUAAAUUUCUGUUCCAAUUUCCCCCAGUAUUUGAAAAGACUUCGAAUGUUUUAUGUUCUGAGCAAUCACAACAUCCUAACCAAAGUCCUUAAAAGUCACAUAAUAACUAGUUUAAAAUUAGGACAUGACCAUGCCUUCAACGUCAGAACAAACAGUCUACAGUGAUUCCUCAAACUAGUGUUCUAUGAACUAGAAAUACUAUUUUGUAAUAUAACCACAUAAAGACUUCACAGAAAAGACACUGCUUAUGGUUGUUAAUAUAUUAGCAAAUUUUACCAAAUUAAAGACAAUUCUAGCCAGGUGGUAGCACACACCUUUAAUCCUACCCCUGGGAGGCGGAGGCAGGUAGAUCUCUGAGUUUUGAGGCAAGCCUGGGCUACAGAGUGAAUUCCAAGAUAGCCAGGGCUACACAGAGAAAGCCUGUCUCAAAAGAGCAACCACAACAGACCUAAUGCUGUAAUCCUGGCACUUAGGAGGUAAAGACACAAAGUACAAGGAGCGUUCAUGGCAUCCUGAGCUACACUGAGUCUGACACUAGCCUGGCUACACAAAGCCCUGCCUCAAAAAGAAGGGAAAAAAAAAAAAAAACUUUCUUUUUACACUGACACAAACAGAUCCUUUUGCUUACACACAUAAAAAAACUUUGAUGGAUCAUCAAGAUGGCUCAUCUGGUAAUGGAGCCUGCUUGCCUGGUAAGCCUGACAAAGUCAGUCAAAUUCCCAGGACACACAUGGCAGAAAGAACUGACUUCCAGAAAGUGUUCCUAACCUCCAUAUGUAUACAUGGUACCCACACAGAUUAGUAUGUAUCCAACCAUGACCCCACACGCAGUUUAAUAAUUUUUUUGAGAGAAAGUCUCACUAUGAAGCACGACCGACCUAGAACUCACUACUACACCAUACUCAGAUCAAACUGUCUCUUCCUUCCUCUCAGGGGAUUAAAUUCAAAUGCCACCACAGUUGAAUAAAAUGUUUAAAAAAUGUUUUAAGCUUUAUUUUUUUAUUGAAUGUGUUUGGGUGCUUUGCCUCCUUGUGUGUCUGUGUGCAGUGUUCUAAGAGGGUGUGAAGAGGGUGCCAGAUUCCCUAGAGCUGGAGUUAUAGAUGGUAGGAAGUCACCCUGUGGAAACUGGAAAUUGAAUCUGGGUCCUCUGGAUAAGCACCCACUACUCUUAGCCAUUGAGCCAUCUCUCCAACCCAAAAUAAAAAAUGAUUAAAGGAAUUUAUGUUAGCAGUUUUAUCUGACCCAGUUACCUAAUACAAGAACAUGAAUUAUACCUUAAUUACUUGGCACAGCAACAAAUUAUUUAUGUAAGUCACAAUUCCAGGGCAACAUGGAAACACACACCCAUAAUCUCAGCACUCGGGAGGCUGAAGCAGGCUUGCCAGGAGUUUGAGAUCAACAUGGGCUACAUAGCCAAUACCUGCCUCAAAAAAAUGUAUUAAUUAAUUAUGAAAAUCCAACCAAAACUCCAAGCUAGUAAAUAUUUGGGCAUACUUGAGUUAUUUGUAGUCAGAUGUUCAUUGAAAUGGCAAAAGCAAUCUUAGAAAUACUGUAACGAAUAUUUAAAUGCACAUUUCUCACUUAAAAAACACUAGGAUCGUGUUAGACAAGCUAAGUACAAACUAACAUGCUUGCCAAAAACCACACUUAAAUAGGAUAUGCAAAGCUUCAACUGUGGAAUAACUAUUAGGGUGCCAAUAAUUAAUAAUUACGCAUGAUUCAAGAAAAACUUCUCGAGGUUAAAAUCCUAUGAUCAACUACAGUCUAGCGUACAGUGCUACCAGAAAACUUAUACAGAACAACAGGGUAGUGCAAUCUCUCUCUCUCCCUUUAUGUGUACCUGGAGGAGGGCAGGGAGAAGAGGAAGAGAGAUGAAGUUCACAGCCUGGUGAACUAACAAUUCACUUAAAAAAAUGAAUUUCCUGCUAUCUUAACCUCUGAAUCAAUUGUAAAAGUAGCUGCCAAAAGCAGUUAGCAGGAAAGCACACAGCUCCCAAAGGAGCUCCGAAUAUACAACCUAUUCUACUACUUAAAUGCUUUACUGAUUACUGAGAUUUCAACAAGAUGUGAAACAUUCAAAACCAAUCUUAGAGCAGCAGGUGUUCAGAACGUCCAUGGUAGUGCUCAGCACACACGGGUCUUCGGUGCAGCUCAUGUCCAGGAUGCCUGUUCUAGCACCUGACCCUGCUCUUCAGUCCCAGCCCAACAUUAUGGACAUUACUGCAGGGUCUGGUGUGGAUACUGUCUUGCUUUUUAAAAACUUGGUUUACUGCCCGCUAAGUGAAAAGACACUGGGAUAUUUUACUUCUUGAUUUAGUUAACCUUUUUAGCCUAAAUUGGCUUCUGGAUACUCCAGUCUGUUUUCAACAAACACUGACAGAACCUACACUGAACUGAAGCUACCUGAGUAUUUUCCCACUAAAUAAAUACAUUUGAAACAUUCACACUGCACUGUAAAAGGUGCUCAACCUUAGGCACUAUGUAUCAAGCUUUCAGAACUAAAAUGAACCAGCAAUGGCUUUAAGAAUGACCAGUCUAGAAUAGACGUUUACAGCUACAACCCUCUCUAACUGGUCAUUGCACCCAUGAUGAUAAACUCAUGGGAGGCAUUUAUCAACAGAUUAUUUAUGAAAUCGCACAUACAUUCAGAAGACUCUGCUAUUCAUAAUCUUCUGUGUUAAUCUGUAUACACAGUCAAAUUUUGCUAGCCUCUAGUUUAUAAAAAAAAAAAAAAAAAAAAAAAAUGAAGGCCCAAGCCAUUCUUCAGGCUUGUUUAUUAAUACUGACAUGACUGUUGAAAACAGUAUGGGAUACUGCACCACUAGCUACACAGAUCUACUGAUUUCAGUGAGAGUCCUCAGCCCAACCUCUCUUCAGCCUCUUUGGCAGGGAAUGGAUGUUUAAAUCCCAGAGGAAAUCUCUGAUGCUAGGAUUUUACUUUCCCUAAGUUUAUUUUUUUAAUGAUACCAAAAUGUUCCUAAAGAGCUGCUGGUGUAUACAGUCUCCUACACCUGGAGUGCAAAUGAGUCCCUAUUCCGUUUUCUAGUUUAAGACAAAAUACAGUUCUCACAAAAAGAAAGAGCAUCAAUUCAAAGGAGUCCUUGCAAGUCACAAUGUGAAAAUACCCCUGAUAACAGAACAAAUUAAUGUCGAGACACAGCCAAUAACACAAUGAGGCUGCAGUGCGAGUGCGCCUGUCAAAGGGCAUCUGUAUUAGCAGCCUGGGGAAGUGGCAUUUGCAGAAAGGCACAGCGGCUGUGUUUAAAAGAAAAUCAUUAAGCCUCAGCCGUUAAUCCCCUCCCCCAUCCUCUUCACUGGAUCGUCAAAGCAAUUAACCAGUAGAAGGUGCUAUUCUGCAACCCACAUGUAUUCACACUAACCUCCAUCCUUGGCCCAGAGCAGGAUUUAGCCAGGUGGACUCUCAGCCCUGUCCAGCAUUCCAAAGGGCCUCUACCAAAGCCCCUAGCCAGAAAACCAGAUCUUUUCUUAAAACACUGUUGAGGGAAAAAACUAUAUUGAUAAGUCAAGCACCAUCAAUCAAUAGACACACACACACACACACACACACACACACACACACACACACACACACAAACACUGCUACAUAUUAACCUCAAAUACAAUCUUUAUCACUGUAACUGAGACAACCUAUUUCUACUUAGAAAGGCCCUGGUCACACUCAGCAAAAGAAAAAAAAAAAAAAAAAAAAAUCAAGUGAACAAGAACAAACCUGUCCCUCACAGAGUCUGGGGUUUCGAGGAAGGGAAGGCAGAGAGUGUAAGGCCAUGGCAGAGUUUAUCUUUACACAGAAAAGCAAGCAACAAAA